GAUUUUGAAUGCUUGGAAUUUUUAAGCCGACUAGCAUCAUUGACAUCGUUUUGUCUUUGGGACUUAAUCGGAAGCUUUGUAUCGGACUUUAGCUUUGCCUUUUGAUGCUUGCUACGGUAUUUGGAUUCAACGGUUUUCCAAAUACCAAUCUUGGGUUUUUUAGGUUUAACCAGCUUUGGUAUUGAUUUAUUUUGCAAAACCCUCAGAAGAAUUUGUUCGACCAGUGUGCAAAUUGGUUAGACCGGUCUUGGAAGAACUAGCACCUUUACAUUUGUUUUGUCCCCC
rnacentral:lncRNA from 1 species